rnacentral:rRNA from 1 species
GACGAACGCUGGCGGCGUGCCUAAUACAUGCAAGUCGAGCGAGCUGAACCAACAGAUUCACUUCGGUGAUGACGUUGGGAACGCGAGCGGCGGAUGGGUGAGUAACACGUGGGGAACCUGCCCCAUAGUCUGGGAUACCACUUGGAAACAGGUGCUAAUACCGGAUAAGAAAGCAGAUCGCAUGAUCAGCUUAUAAAAGGCGGCGUAAGCUGUCGCUAUGGGAUGGCCCCGCGGUGCAUUAGCUAGUUGGUAGGGUAACGGCCUACCAAGGCAAUGAUGCAUAGCCGAGUUGAGAGACUGAUCGGCCACAUUGGGACUGAGACACGGCCCAAACUCCUACGGGAGGCAGCAGUAGGGAAUCUUCCACAAUGGACGAAAGUCUGAUGGAGCAACGCCGCGUGAGUGAAGAAGGUUUUCGGAUCGUAAAGCUCUGUUGUUGGUGAAGAAGGAUAGAGGUAGUAACUGGCCUUUAUUUGACGGUAAUCAACCAGAAAGUCACGGCUAAC